UACGAGGGGGGCUAGCGUUGCUCGGAUUGACUGGGCGUAAAGGGCGCGUAGGCGGUUCGUACAGUCAGACGUGAAAUUCCUGGGCUCAACCUGGGGGCUGCGUUUGAUACGUGCGGACUUGAGUGCGGAAGAGGGUCGUGGAAUUCCCAGUGUAGAGGUGAAAUUCGUAGAUAUUCGCAAGAACACCAGUGGCGAAGGCGGCUCACUGGCCCGGUACUGACGCUGAGGUGCGAAAGCGUGGGGAGCAAACAGG
rnacentral:rRNA from 1 species